AAACAUUAAAAAUCAUAAUCAAACAUUAAGCAAGCUCAAUUAAUUUUUAUUGAAGUUAUAAAAGAAACACAAGGAAAUCCUAAAGAAAUAUAAAAAAAUAUUAAAGAAAACUUAGUCAAAUCCUAAAAAAAAUCUAAUAGAACCUUAAAUUCUAACCAAAUCCUAAUCCUAAUCCAACCUUACUCAAACCCUAGACAAACCCUAAAUCCUAAAUCAAA
rnacentral:lncRNA from 1 species